GGAGUUAGCCGGUGCUUCUUCUGUGAGUGAUGUCCUUCCUGCCGGCUAUUAACCCGCAGGCCUUCUUCCUCACUGAAAGUGCUUUACAACCCGAAGGCCUUCUUCACACACGCGGCAUGGCUGGAUCAGGGUUGCCCCCAUUGUCCAAUAUUCCCCACUGCUGCCUCCCGUAGGAGUCUGGGCCGUGUCUCAGUCCCAGUGUGGCUGAUCAUCCUCUCAGACCAGCUACGGAUCGUCGCCUUGGUGAGCCGUUACCUCACCAACCAGCUAAUCCGACAUAGGCUCAUCCGAUAGCGCGAGGCCCGAAGGUCCCCCGCUUUCCCCCGUAGGGCGUAUGCGGUAUUAGCCUGGGUUUCCCCAGGUUAUCCCCCACUACCGGGCAGAUUCCUAUGCAUUACUCACCCGUCCGCCGCUCGCCACCAGGGAGCAAGCUCCCCGUGCUGCCUCUCGACUUGCAUGUGUUAGGCCUGCCGCCAGCGUUCAAUCUGAGCCAGAAUCAAACUCUGA
rnacentral:rRNA from 1 species